GACAGAGGAUGCAAGCGUUAUCCGGAAUGAUUGGGCGUAAAGCGUCUGUAGGUGGCUUUUUAAGUCCGCCGUCAAAUCCCAGGGCUCAACCCUGGACAGGCGGUGGAAACUACCAAGCUGGAGUACGGUAGGGGCAGAGGGAAUUUCCAGUGAAGUGGUGAAAUGCGUAGAUAUUGGAAAGACCACCAAUGGCGAAGGCACUCUACUGGGCCACUACUGACACUGAGAGACGAAAGCUAGGGGAGCGAAUGGG
rnacentral:rRNA from 1 species